AUUUUUUAAUGAUUUUUCAAACAACAUCUUGAAUUUUCAUAAAAAUAUAAAAUGGAGGUAUCAGAAAAUAAAUUGGUAAUUAGAAAAAAUGAAAAUAAGCGGAUGAAUCUGUCACAAUACUUUCAUGACACGAAAAUGUUAUUGAAUCGAAUUUGGGACACAUUUCCAUCGUCCUUAGAUGAAAGUGAUUAUUUUUCCAAUUCACCAUCAUUUGUUCUGAAUAUAAUGAUCUAAAAAAUCAACUCAUUAAUAAUUGUUCACGUGAAUCGUCUAUCGGACAUCAUUUUUGUGCGGGGAAAAAUAAACCACUCUCUAACAAAUCUUAAUUCGAUUUAGAAAAACACACACAUCAUUAGGAUUCACGUUAAUUUACCAUUCCAUACAUUAAGACAGAUUAUGGAUAUUGAAAAUAUUAUCUUCUCAUAUGGACUCGUUGAUUAGGUUUUAAAAUCAAUUCAACUUGGAUUUUCAUUAAAUAUACUAUCGAUGCAGUAAAAUAUUGUUUUCAAGAUCCAAUCAAAUUCAGCAUGAAGUUUUUAUAAAAUAAGAUCCCUUAUAUUCAUUUUUUUGGUUCAAUUCAUCAAUUGGUUUAAAUUUUUUGAAGUUUAACUU